UGUCAAUAACCUCUCACAGUUCAGGUUACUGAUAUAGACAGUAGGCUUGAGGAAAUUUAAUAAGAAAAGCUAACAGAAGAAGAACAGAGAUAAAAAUAACAGUGUGAAGCUAGCAGUAUUAGAGCACACCUUAGUAAUGCUAGAACCCUGAUCCCUUAGACAUUGAUAGCAAAGUUCC